CUAAUGGUGGUAAGCAGAAAAUUUAUAUCCAGGUUAGAUCGAAAGCAACGUGAGAGGAAGAAAGACGCAUUGCAUUGGUUCUUUGUGGAAUUGGAAUUUGCAAAUAGUCUCCUUUGAAAAGCUUUUCGUCCAGUGGGAAAUAGAAGAAGACAGUUUAAUUAUAUCUUAUGCACUGUUAAAUAUAGUUUUUCCUGUAUAAACUAUUUAAAGGAGAACUGACACGCAAAAACAAGUCUGUCUUAAACGGUAGUUUGUCACAAGCAGAUUCCGGGGUCGAAAAUUUUUUUAAAUCACAGGUACCGUUUUUGAAAUACAGGCGUUUUGAAUGAAGAAACGACAAUUGUUCCGACAACUUGAGACUCGAGGCAAAAAUCGUCACGAGUGGGUGAUCAUCUUUGACGUCACAAGUGACAUGUUCUCAGCACGUAUUGUGUUUCUCUAUAGAAACCUUUAAGAAAAUGCUGCGAACAAAUGUUUAUUUUGUGCGUGUGAGGAAGCUAAUUGACAUAUAAUUGACUUUUUCAAAGGUUUGAGACUCUGACUCGGAGUUUUAUUACACUGAUUUCGAAACAAACAAAAAUUUCAGCCUUCUGAGUUUGUGCCACCAACCAGCGCUGCUGCUUGGGCAGACUGCCGUCCAAUGGCUCAAUAGUGACGAUAUUAUAAACAAAGAACAGAAUGGAAGGCUACAAUGCGUAUAACAAAUGUUGCUGAGAGCCUCAGAUCUCAAGGCCCCAAACUAUGUUGAUAAAGAUAGCUACAGUAGAGAGACAAAGCUGACAACCAACAGAGAAAAGGCUGACAAAGACUUGAUAGCUACAGUAGAGAGACCAAGCUGACAACCAACAGAGAAAAGGCUGACAAAGACUUGCCUUGGGGUUGAUCAAUUUUGUUGGUGGGAUUAAAGACAAUACUUGUUUUUUGUACAAUAAAUAGAUAGUUUGAAACCACAGUCAUCAGCAAAAGAAAUCUCAAAAGGCACUUUAAACAUAAAGCAAACCAAAAAAUUAAUUAAAGAUUCUUUUAAAUAAGCUUGGUAAAUGUUUUGAUAUCACAAAAUACUUCACAGCUUCGAGUGCUGGGUGCAAAAUGUUUCAAAUUUUCACACUAAAAGACAACUCUUCUCUUUCAUUCAAACAAUAUGCUUAUAGUGAAAUGCUCAUUCAAAAAUGUAAUAAUUCUUUGAGGGUGCAAAAUUAACUAACCAA